AGAUGCCCAAGAAGUAGAGGCAGUAUGAACUAUUCUACCUAUUAUCUUUAUUUUAAUUGCUCUUCCAUCGUUAUAUAUUCUGUAUACAACAUGAAAUUAAUAACCCCUCCCUAACCUAUGAAUAUACAAAGUAUGAAGACCUAAAUUUUGACUCCUACAGAUUUCCUACAACAGACUUAAAACCAGGAGAGCUGCAGCUACUUGAAUUUGACAAUCAAGUAGCCUUCCCCGUAGAAACAUCAAUUCAAAUAUUAAGUUCGUCGAAAGACAUCCUACGUUCAUGAACCUUACCAUCAUUAGGCCUAAACAGAUGCAAUGCCAGGAUGUUUAAACCAAGCAAUCCUGACAUUUACACAAUCAGGCCUUUCUACAGUCAGUGCUCGGAAAUCUGUGGAUCUAAUCAUAGCUUCAUACCCAUUGUUCUUGAA
rnacentral:lncRNA from 1 species